rnacentral:rRNA from 1 species
GGCCUAUCAGCUAGUUGGUGGGGUAACGGCCUACCAAGGCGACGACGGGUAGCCGGCCUGAGAGGGCGACCGGCCACACUGGGACUGAGACACGGCCCAGACUCCUACGGGAGGCAGCAGUGGGGAAUAUUGCGCAAUGGGCGAAAGCCUGACGCAGCGACGCCGCGUGGGGGAUGAAGGCCUUCGGGUUGUAAACCCCUUUCAGCAGGGACGAAGCGAAAGUGACGGUACCCGCAGAAGAAGCGCCGGCUAACUACGUGCCAGCAGCCGCGGUAACACGUAGGGCGCAAGCGUUGUCCGGAAUUAUUGGGCGUAAAGAGCUCGUAGGCGGUCCGCCACGUCCGCUGUGAAAACCUAGGGCUUAACCCUGGGCUUGCAGUAGAUACGGGCAGACUAGAGGUAGGUAGGGGAGAAUGGAAUUCCCGGUGUAGCGGUGAAAUGCGCAGAUAUCGGGAGGAACACCGGUGGCGAAGGCGGUUCUCUGGGCCUUACCUGACGCUGAUACUGACGCUGAGGCACGAA